CUUCUUUUCAGAGUCUAAGCACAGAGGAAGCAGGGUGGCUUAUGGCUGCUCCGCUAAAACACGGUUAUAAUCCCAGUGCUUCCGUGAAACCUUGGGCAAGCCUGAACCAAGUCUGGGUCCCCUCUUCGGCAAAACUGCAUUUACACUCCCAUCCCUCAUUAGUUCGUUGGGAGGGUUAAAGAAGAGCGUGUAUUUAUCAAGGACUCGACACAAUGUCAGAUGCGGAGUCAGCGCUGCAUAAAUGUUGGCUGUCAUUUUUGUUCUAACAUAAGAGAAAGCUGGAUGAUCCCAUUUGGGUUUCAGCCCUGUUGCCCCUCUUCACUCCUCCGGUGGUUCAGUGGGAGCUCUGCCGACCGCCUGGCUGCGGCCACUCACUGCUGGGACUGCGCGGCCUGCCCCUGGCCUGGGUCCGGGCGCCUGUCUGCUCCCAGCAGCUGGUGGAGCCGCAGGACCCCCGCGCAGCCCGGGCCGCCGCCGUUAGGGUUGGCUCAAGCCUCUCGGCCCAGUCCGCCAGUUUUAUAGCCCGAACUCAAAGAGGGCUUUUAACUUUUCAUUCAGCAGCAGCGUAGCCCCGACUUUUAAUAACACACCUCGUGCACGACAAAAAUUUGCUCCUGGCAAUCAUGGUUUCGACCACAAAACCACAGCGGGGAGGCGUUCCUGGUUAACUCUUUCAGCGCUCCAGGCAGUCUGGAGCCGGCGCUCCUGGAGAUCAGAUAGACCGGCGGCGGCGGCCGCGGUCAGGACUGCGACGCUUCUCGGCCCCAUCCCCCAACCGAGUCGCGCCUCUGCGAGGCUGGGGGGAGACUCCAGGCGGCGGCGGUGGUGGGGCCCAGAGAGCACGGAGCGAGGCUGCGGGGGACGCUCCUGCCUCGGUGCCUUAGACCUACUGUGUGCCAAGCCCUUUUGCGGCGAAACUCUACUGGGCUGUCAACGGGGCCUGCCUGGAGGGCCGGGGGAUGGCAGGCGCUCCAGCGGGGAACAGGAGGUCACCAGCGAGGUCGCCAGCGGCUCCAGUUCCCCGGGGCCCCGACGCACCUUCAGGAAAACCCGACGGCAGCCACCUCGCGGGCUCUAGCUGUUUUCCCGCGAUACCCGGGCGGUCGGCGGCGACUUCCGGCGCCCACGGCCGCAGCCCAGGAUCCUUUGCGCCCUGCUGUAGCCCGGGGCUGCCCAGGGCUGCGGGCUCCAGGCACCCAGAGCGCUGCGACCACAUGAAAGGCCCGGCGCUCAGCACCCGCCAGCCACCGCCAGCUGGUUUCUAACUACACUGCCGGGGCCUCCAUGCUUCUCAGGGGCCAGCCUUCGAAUUGCCGCCUUACACCUGGGGCCUGCCCACCGGGCGGGCGCGGAUGGCGCUCCCGGUCCACAUUGGGGAGCUCACAGUUGUUCCUGCCAGAUGAGGAAAAUGAAGCCCAGAAAAAUUGAGAUCACCCAGGGACAGAGCCUGGAUUUGAACUUAGGUCAAGCCCACUACAGAGAGUACACAUGCUUAACCACCACACUGUAACCUUCCCACUUGGGACUGUUCCAGCCCACUAAACAAGUCCCUUUAGAGAAACUCAACUCUGCCUAAGACAGCUCUUAGAACUACCUCAAAGAAGUUCCUUUUGGCAAGAAGAUAGAAAGCCUCGAUGGGACUGGGAUUGUCUGAUUUCCAAGGCCCCUUCAGAGGAUCAAAAAGUGGUGCCAGAAACCUUCACAGUUUCAGUCUUGUGUUUCCCUGCCUGGCUCGAAACUGCUCAGCAAAGAGAAUGAGAAAAACUAUUUUCCCAGGGAAACACUCACCUCUAGCAUGAGACUGGGGCUUGCCUUGACACGCCAAAGAAAGAUCGUCAGCCCAUUCAUUUACCCUUACAAAUUGCUCUGUGAAUCCCGGUGCCGGCCUCCCCGCUCUUCCCCCUCCAGGAAACCCCAUCCAGCCUCCACGCCCCGAGAGCGGCAGGUAUCCACCGAUGUUUACUCACUCAAGUUCAUUCGACAUCUUCCUGCUCCCAGGCUCCGACGAUCAGCACUGAGGUUCUGCUGACCGCUUGUCUCUAAUUCUUGCCUGACACAGACAUUCUCUGCCCAGGGAAGUGUUUGAUUUAUGUUGAGGUUUGGGUGUCGAGAUUUUGCUGACAGAUGCAGAAGCUGAGACUUAAAAGAAGCUAUGAAACCUGAUCAGGUCAUGCAGCGCCAGAGGACCCAAGCUGGGAUCUCAACCCAGGCUGUUUGGCUCCAAAGCCGAACUGCUACAUUAUGUUGCUUCAGCAGUCAUUCAGCAGGAGAGACAGCACAGGACCGAGAGGCAAGAGAUCAAGGUUUGAGUUCCAGCUCUGCUGCUUGCUGGCUGUGUGACCUCAGACAAGUCAUCUUCCUUCUCUGAGCCAGUUUCUUCAACUGCGAAAUGAAUGGUUUGAGUUUGAAGGUCACUCAGGUUCUUUCUAACCGUCUGAGAUCUGUGACUUUGAAGGUGACAAAAAAAGAAAACAAAGGAAAAAAUAACAGCAGAUGCCUUUAUCAGCCAAGAUAACAUUUCAUAAACCCCAGGGCCUUGACACCAUCUUCAAAAGUCACCCCAUCCUGCAGUUUCUAGGCAGGACCUUCUCGAGCAGAUAGGGUGAAUGAACUAACUGUUUGCAAGACCGCAGAAAGCUUUCUGGAGCCCCAAGGAGGCCUCAGGGAAGGUGUAAGGCUAAAAAGCGAAGCCUGCAUCACAAAGGGAGCAGGCCUGAGAAAACCAGCUGACCCCAAACAUCAGACCUGAGGGAUUCUGCUUUUUGGUGCCUUGGGCAAGAAUUAUCCUCCACUUGACCAGAAUGGAUUAGUUUAUGGUGAGGGAGGGAUGUUGUCCCUAGAGCCUGGUGAUGUCCCCAUCUGUUGUAAAACAGGCCCCACCUGGGAAAUAGAACAUUAUCUUUUUUGGGGCCUAGUGACCUCUGACACCCCCACCCCCUGCUUCCUGGCCCACUACGCAGUCUGAGUCACACCCAGCAGGAGACCAAUGCUGGGAAUGGAGGAGGCAUUCAGCAUCCCCCUUACUCACAAGAGUCUCCACCGAGUUAUUCUUAAGCCCUGCUUGAACCCUGAGGGGGAUGACACGGGUGGGAUUUACAGAAAAUAAAACACAAUCAGUUUCAACUCGUUCUACCAGUUUUUGCCCCUUAUAGUACAAAGUCUCUUAACCAUCUUAAUGUAACAAAUUUCCCUUUACAGAGACAAUGGGCUUUAGAGGAGUUUAGUGAUGUUACUAACAAACAUAAGUACCUUUUACUAAGGUCCUGGUGCCCAAGUGUUUCAGGUGAAAAAACCUGAAACAUGAAAAGCCCAGAGAGGUAAAGUGACUGGCUCAAGGUAAGUGGUGGAGCUGGUAUUUGCACCCAGAUCCCCUGUUACUUCAGAACCUCAACUACCGCGGUGACUUUGUGUGCAAACCUGUCUGAAGCCUAUUGGUGAAGCUCUGCCAGCUAUGAAGAGGCACAGAUCUGCCUGCCGCCUUUGGAAGGUUCAGACUCUUUUUCUGGAAGGCCUACCUUUUCAUCCUUUGAUGGUUGGGGGAACCGAAGCACAAUGAGGGAGGUGAGUGUGCCAUACAAUGAGAAGACAGAACUCAGCGCUCUUCACUUCUCUGCCUGUGGGAAAGAGGCCAGUUCUAGGGGUGGGGAUCACGAAGGAGCACACUGCUUCCCUGUCCUUGUCACAUCCCAUGGCCAGUAGCCAUGUACUUUUUCCUCCUUUUUCUCCUGCCCAGCAAAUAUAGGCUCCAGCUGCAGCCACUUUGAAGAUAAAGUUUCCUCCAUAGGAAUUCUGCAAUACAGAUGUCUUUCCAUGGUCCCAGUUCAGCCCUGCACCAGUUCCUUUUCCCGCUGGGAAGUUUCUUUCCUCUUCCUGCUUCCAUGCAACUGCGAGGCAAGGCUCAAGCACACUUCCUUCUCCUUUUCCUGUGCCUUCCUGUGGAAGGAGCUCCCUCUUCUUCACUGCUCCGGGCUUUUCCCUACUCUGGCCCAGCCUUACGGGCAUUUUGCUCCAUAACUCUUCUGGAUCUGAACUGCUUUGAUUUCUCUCAAGUCAUGUCAGCGAAUCUCACAAAUGCAUUCUGAGAAAUACAUUCUGCAUUACAUUCUGAAAUACAUUCUGAAAUACAUUCUCUCACAAAUGCAUUCUGAGAAAUGCAUUCUGAGGAAUGCCUGAGAUGUUCCAGGCAGAAAAGAUUCAUGCCUCUUCUUAGAAAUGAACAAGGCAUAGUCAUCAAGCCUCUGAAAAGUCCUGCAGUCAGGAAACCUACUUUGUUUGUUUUUCAACCCAGUAUUUCCCAAACUGAGAUGGCCAUGAUUUCAUUUCCUCCAUCCCCACUGAAUCCUAUAACAACCUGCAGAACCAGUGAUCCACUGUGGAACACACUUUGGGAAACACUGUCCCCAGCCCUCCAAGAAGGCAUAGAGUUGACCUUGCCUUCAUUUAUUUAAACUCUUCCUGUUUCUCUGGGCUAUUUACUUAUUAUCUCACAUAUAAAAUAAUCUAAGGUGAUACCUGCCCAAUUGGGUUUUUAGAAAAGACAUACCCAAUGGGAAUGAAGAUUUUCUUAGCAGGAUUUGAUGAGCCCACUACUAGAAAAAAAAGAAUUUCCCAGAAUUUUGGGGUGGGGAGAGAAUUUGAUACAACCAGCAGAGGCUGGGUGCAGUGACCCACGCCUGUAAUCCUAGCACUUUGGUAGACCAAGGAAGGAGGAUUGCUUGAGCCCAGGAAUUCAAGACCAGCUUGGGCAACACAGUAAGAUCCCAUCUCAAUUUUUUAAAAAAGGAAGAACCAGCAGAAAGGGUUUAGCAAACUUACUUGUUUCCUAGUCAAUGGAUAAAGCCAGAGAUGUAAUGGCCAGAAACCAAAAUCUAGAGUUCAGUACCAGAUAAAUACUUUUUGAGUGAAUGAAUGAAUGAAUGAAUGAAUGAGCAGACUAUUGAUCACAAAGUUGGCAGACAUCGUGAAUGAAUGGAUGAACUAAUAAACAAUCAAAUAACUGGUCUCCAGGCCUCCAGACUUUCUGAACUUCAUUGUAUCUACCUGUUGUGGCCACAUACACAUCUUCUCAAAACCCAGAUCUCAUCAGUCCACUCUUCUGUUCCCUGGCUGGCUCCCUGUUGCCUUCAGGAUAAAGUCUACAUGCCUUUGUCCUGGCAUUGAAAACUCUGCAAAACAAAGCUCCAACCUAGCUUUCCAUCCUUCUUUCUCUUCCCCACUGGGUACCCCUUUCUGUAGUCACACCAGUCCCCAAUUCACUUUUAUCUGUCUCCUUUUCUUUCUCAAGCUAUUCCCUAUACUUCAUAUUUUCUCCCCUGCCUCCAUGGCUGCUUAUUCAAUCCUAGUGGUGCUUUCAGGCUCAGCUCAAACCUUAUCACCCAUGUUAAAUGAAAGAAGCCAGACACAAGAAGGGGACAUUCUGAAUGAUUCCAUUUGUAUGAAGGUUAAGAACAGGCAAAACUAUUGUGGGGAAAAAACAGAACUGUGGUUGCCUUUGGGGAGUGAGGAUUGAUUAGAAGGGAUUUUUAGGGUAUGUCAGUGUUCUUGAUCUUCAUUCCAGUGGUAGUUUCAUGGGUGAAUACAUUUUCCAAAAUUCAUUGAAUUGUACACUGAAGAUCUACAUUUCUCUGUAUUGUCAAUUUAAUCUAAAAAUAAAAAUCUUAGCACCCAGAUCUCCCUGGCAAGAAUUCA